rnacentral:tRNA from 4 species
GGCCCUGUAGCCAAGUGGUAAGGCAUGGCUCUGCAAAAGCUUGAUCAUCGGUUCAAAUCCGUUCAGGGCCUCCA